CUUGUAGGUGGCCAACUAAGUCAGACGUGAAAUCCCUCGGCCUAACCGGGGAACUGCGUCUGAUACUGGAUGGCUUGAGUUUGGGAGAGGGAUGCGGAAUUCCAGGUGUAGCGGUGAAAUGCGUAGAUAUCUGGAGGAACACCGGUGGCGAAGGCGGCAUCCUGGACCAAUACUGACACUGAAAAGCGAAAGCCAGGGGAGCAAACG
rnacentral:rRNA from 1 species